GUAAGUCACUCAGAGACCGUUUGAGUAACUAGUUUGUGUGUGUGUUUUUUUUUUUUACCAGGAUCAAUGUAAAAGUUUGUACCUCCUGGUGCUGCUGCUGUGGGGCCCUUUAGCUGUAAUAUUCUGAUGCACUCAUACAGUUGAGCUGUUAUUUAUGUCUUAUGUGAACGUGUGUGUGUGUGGGGGCGUGUGUUGGAUUUUUAUGAUGUGUUGGCCGGUCAGGGGCUCGUCUCUGGAUUAGACCCAGCUGCUCCGGUUCUCUUGAGGAUCCAGCUGAAUGCUACACACGGCUCCUUUAGAGGAAGCGGUGUGGCACAUUAAACGGAUGCUGACAGACGAGGGCAGAAGUGAUCUUUCUAGCGGUAAUGAACAAAGCAGGUGGCAAAUACUAAAGGUUCAAAUGAGUAUCAUAAGUUUUGGGUGCGUUUUGUUUUACAAAUGUUUAUUCGAGCGGAGAAUGACGACAUUUCUGUUAAGAAAAGACGGCUUUGAGGCAUCCAGAAAAAUUAAAUGUUGGACUUGAUCAGACAAAGAACAGUGGAAAACCCACCUGAGCCUGAUGUGCAAAUUA
ensembl:lncRNA